AUGCAUGGGCCUCACCCUGAGGACCUGCAGGCACAUGCCCUGGAAGACAUCGUCAAUGGGAAAGAGCUCCAAGGUCUGGGAGGCCAGGAAGAGGCCAUGGGCCAGCCUCCUGGUCAUGAGGUAGCCUCCUCCUGCGGCGUAGGGUGGGUAGAAGGUCUUGCUGUACAAGGCGCCAGGGACGUAGUACUUGUUUCUCUUGGCUCGGAUGGGCCUGGCAUCAUCCAGGACUUCUCCCACCAGGAGGUUCUCCUGAGGUCUCCGGUCCUGCAGGAACUCCAGCAGGUUGGCGGGGCUGACGAAGAUAUCGUCGUCGCCUUUGAAGAUGAAGCUGACCCGGGGGCAGAAGGUAUCCAGCCAUUUGAGGAAGUUCACCUCUUUCAAGGUCAGGUUGAAGAAACUGUCCAGGAAGUCCCACUGCAGGAUGUCCCGGUGGAAGCUGUCCUCCGAGGCCAGGAGCUGGCUGUCCGGGUCCAGAGCCUCCCUCCCGGGGCUGGUGCCCAGCAGGAAGAGGGUGCGGAUGGCCCCGCGGCCACCGCCUGCCUCCCGUUCUCGGCCCCACGUUUUCCGGAUGGUCUCGCGCUGGCUGUGCCGGGGGAGGCCGGACUUGAUGGCCAGCAGCAGGCUUACAGUAGAAGAGGAAAAAUCAUAAUUUUUAAAAAUUAGAGAUAUGUGGGAGGACUUCCGGUUAAGAUGGCGGCUUAGAGAAAGCUCAAGUUCAGAUCUCCGGAAAAACCUUCCCAACCGAUCUCAAACUAUAAGCUCCUAAGGCGCCGAAAUUCAAAACGAUCAACAGCACAGACCCUGGGAAGCCUCCUCCUGGACCUGGACCCGGUUCAAAAGGUACUGCUCCCCUCAAAAGCCAGAACCGGAGAUCACUCGGACCGCAGGGGUAGGAGCGCAGAGUCCAAGGCUCCCGGAAGCCUCGGCUGGCUGGGCUCAGAGAGCAGAACCCUCAGGGCCUUCUACCCGAGUCCCAGUGAAAGUUACUGCCUGGGGCUCCCGCUACAGAGAGCUGGUCGAAACAACAGCAACCCUCAGGGCGGGCAAGACAGCCUCACGGGCUGGAUCCUGCUAUCCAAGUCUCAGUGAAAGUCCUUGCCCGGAGCUUGGGAAAGCUGCAGCCCAUCCCCCCCGCAGGCCUACGAAACAGCCUCACAGCCAGCGAUUCUGAAGGCAACUUCCUGAAAGCAACGUGGUCCGACCCUUCCACUCCAGUUCCAGUGAGGCAUAUUCAGUUUAACCCAGGGAAAGUCAUAGAACCAUCUGCCCAGGACUAAAGCCUCUGAACACCAGACAGAGACAAGAAAAGCCAAUCCUCCACAUUCAGAGAUGGAAAACUCCACAGAAGCACAGAAGCCCCAAAAUACCAAGAAAAAUAAGAAGAAAGGGGCGACUUUGGACACAUUCUAUGGAGCCAAAAUACAAAAUACAGAGCAGAUAGAAGAUAAUAUAAAAGAAAAUGCUCCAAAACCUUCCAAAGGAAAUGGAAACUCUCCACAAACCU
rnacentral:lncRNA from 1 species